AUUGAACGCUGGCGGCAUGCUUUACACAUGCAAGUCGAACGGUAACAGGCCGCAAGGUGCUGACGAGUGGCGAACGGGUGAGUAAUGCAUCGGAACGUGCCCAGUCGUGGGGGAUAACGCAGCGAAAGCUGCGCUAAUACCGCAUACGAUCUAUGGAUGAAAGCGGGGGACCGUAAGGCCUCGCGCGAUUGGAGCGGCCGAUGUCAGAUCAGGUAGUUGGUGGGAUAAAGGCUCACCAAGCCAACGAACUGUAGCUGGUCUGAGAGGAUGACCAGCCACACUGGGACUGAGACACGGCCCAGACUCCUACGGGAGGCAGCAGUGGGGAAUUUUGGACAAUGGGCGCAAGCCUGAUCCAGCAAUGCCGCGUGCAGGAAGAAGGCCUUCGGGUUGUAAACUGCUUUUGUACGGAACGAAACGGUCCUGGUUAAUACCCGGGGCUAAUGACGGUACCGUAAGAAUAAGCAGCGGCUAACUACGUGCCAGCCGCCGCGGUAAUAC
rnacentral:rRNA from 1 species